rnacentral:rRNA from 1 species
ACGUCCAUACCACAUUGAAAACACCGGUUCUCGUCCGAUCACCGAAGUUAAGCAAUGUUGGGCCCGGUCAGUACUUGGGAGGGUGACCACCUGGGAACACCGAGUGUUGUAGGCU